AGUAAGGGCGACUGAAAGGGGAUUAGCCCAGCGCAUAACCUGGCGGUCGUUAUUAGGCCGUCGAGGGGUGUUGCGUUUCGGUGGAUCCGUACCGUUCUAGCUGCUGACCGCCUAAGUCAUUGCUUGAAUGCAGCCCCAUGGAGGGUGGUAGGCCCGUGUGGCGGCGCCUUUUCAAAGGUUUGAGGCAGCUUGAGCGGAGGGAUCUUUACCGUAGAGUCGGGUUGCUUAGUACUGCAGCCCUAAGCAGGUGGUAAACUCCAUCUAAGGCUAAAUACUACCACGAGUCCGAUAUUUGACAAGUACCGUGAGGGAAAGCUGAAAAGGACUCUGAAGAGAGAGUUCAAGAGGACGUGAAACCAUUAGAAGCUGAAACGGGUGGAACCGUGAUGGUGGAAAGAGGGGAUUCAGCCGGUGGGCACGUGCAGGCUAGUGGCGGUUUUGUCUGCCAGAGGACCCGGCGUACUAGUGAGUUGCCGGUGCCCCGCCACUAUUCUUGUCGUGCCGGCGGGCUUAGUUCUCCCUCGAGUACUUGUCGUCGCGACCCGCUGGACGGGCCCCGAGGGCCGCCCCGGACUGGUAGCCCACACCUUGGUGUGGGUGAUGACCGGUGGCGGUGCUGACUGGGCUUGUCCGGCGGUCACUGUCAGGAGGUGGCCUCGGCCAGCUCUCGCGGCGUGACAGACAUUGGUAAUCCACCCGACCCGUCUUGAAACACGGACCAAGGAGUCCAACAUGUGCGCGAGUCUAAGGGUGUUCUAAACCUGUAGGCGAAAUGAAAGUAAGCCCCUUGUGGGCAGGCCGAUCCCCUGUUGGCGGCGGCCCUCGGGAUGGCCAGCGUGAGCUAGUUUCCGCUGGCCUCUGCUCGAGAUGCCGCCGUCGGCGGCUGUACCUCUCCGGGGGUGCAGAGAUGGGGCGCAGGCCGAGGACUUGCCUCUGUGCGGCGCGGGCAACGGGGCGCUCUGCGUCCUUAUCCCGAUGUCCGCCGGCAAGUACCUGAGAGCGCACCCGUUGGGACCCGAAAGAUGGUGAACUAUGCCUGGCCAGGAUGAAGCCAGAGGAAACUCUGGUGGAGGUCCGAAGCAGUUCUGACGUGCAAAUCGAUUGUCAGAGCUGGGUAUAGGGGCGAAAGACUAAUCGAACCAUCUAGUAGCUGGUUCCCUCCGAAGUUUCCCUCAGGAUAGCUGGCAUUGACUUCGUAUGAGUUUCAUCCGGUAAAGCGAAUGAUUAGAGGCCUUGGUGGUGCAAUGCCGUCAACCUAUUCUCAAACUUUAAAUGGGUGAGAAGUGGAGCUUGCUUGACUUCCUCACUGAAGCUCUAUGACAAAUUAGAAUCACAAUGCCUAGUGGGCCACUUUUGGUAAGCAGAACUGGCGCUGUGGGAUGAACCAAACGCACGAGUUAAGGGGCCUAAGUGAAUGCUAAUGUAGACACUACGAAAAGGUGUUGGUUGCUAUAGACAGCAGGGCGGUGGCCAUGGAAGUUGGAAUCCGCUAAGGAGUGUGUAACAACUCACCUGCCGAAGCAACUAGCCCUUAAAAUGGUAUGGCGCUCAAGCAUUCUCCCGAUACUCGGCCGCCGGGGCAAUAAAGUCGGCCUCUUGGCUGUCCAAGCCCCGGCGAGUAGGAGGGUCGCAGCGGUGAGCGUCGAAGGGACUGGGCGUGAGCCGGCCUGGAGCCGCCGCUGGUGCAGAUCUUGGUGGUAGUAGCAAAUAAUCAAGAGAGAACCUCGUUGGCUGAUGUGGAGAAGGGUUCCAUGUCAACAUCAGUUGAACAUGGGUGAGUCAGGCCUAAGCCCAAGGAUAAAGUUCCUGUGUCCCACGUGUUCCCAGGCCUCCUAACGGAUGGCUUGUCUUUCUUCACUUGGUUGGGUUGCUGGAUUUAGGUGGUGGUCGUGGAGGUGGCAUGCUUAACACUAGUAGAGAGAUCAAGUGAUGAUGGCUGCUGCUACUGCUGGCUUUCCACCUGUCCACCCAGCUAGUGCUGAAAGACAUCCUGGAGGACUGAAUUCUUACUUCACUGCUUGUUGUCUGCCAUUGAGAAAGUUUUUGUGAUCAGCUAGUUCCGUGGGCCAGGCUGCUCCUCCUCAGAGAGGGUGGGAAGGGCCUGGCGGUUGUUGUCUGGUCUGUCUG
rnacentral:rRNA from 1 species